GCCCCUUGCCAUCUGGAAAACGGGUGCAUGAUAAAAAAUUUUCUAACUGCUCUAUACAAUCCUUCCCCCCUCAUUGAUGGUAUACCGUUUGGUGGCGGGAAACAAAGGUAAAUCCUCAAGAAUCCCGCCCAAUCCCAAUCGCGCUUCUUUUUAAACGAUUCCCACUCUUACAAACCCCACAAUCUUUCCCUCGCCCUUUGCUUCUCUGAAAACAAAUCUCUGUACCUAAACCUAAUCUGACACCUGAAAUAGGAGAAGAUGCUGGAGCUGAGGCUGGUUCAAGGAUCCCUUCUGAAGAAAGUGCUUGAGGCCAUCAAGGAUUUGGUCAAUGAUGCCAACUUCGAUUGCUCUUCCACGGGGUUCUCUCUUCAGGCCAUGGAUUCAAGCCAUGUCGCUUUGGUGGCUCUCCUCCUCAGAUCGGAGGGUUUUGAGCACUAUCGCUGUGACCGUAACAUUUCCAUGGGCAUGAAUCUCAAUAACAUGUCUAAGAUGUUGAAGUGCUCUGGAGCUGAUGACAUCAUCACCAUCAAGGGUGACGAUGGCAGCGAUACCGUCACUUUUAUGUUUGAAAGCCCUACACAAGACAAAAUUUCGGAUUUUGAGAUGAAACUGAUGGACAUUGAUAGUGAGCACCUGGGAAUUCCUGAGGCAGAAUAUCAUGCUAUUGUCAGGAUGCCAUCGGCUGAGUUUGCAAAAAUAUGUAAAGAUCUUGCAAGCAUUGGUGAUACUGUUGUGAUCUCUGUGACGAAGGAAGGAGUAAAGUUCUCUACAAGAGGUGAUAUUGGCACUGCAAAUAUUGUUGUCAGGCAGAAUACGACAGUAGAUAAGCCAGAAGAAGCAACAAUCAUAGAAAUGAAUGAGCCAGUUUCAUUGACCUUUGCAUUGAGGUAUAUGAACUCAUUCACUAAGGCGACCCCAUUGUCAAACACAGUUACAAUCAGCUUGUCUUCAGAACUGCCUGUUGUGGUUGAGUACAAGAUUGCUGAGAUGGGUUAUGUCAGGUUCUACUUGGCUCCGAAGAUAGAAGAAGACGAGGAUGAGACUAAGCCCCAAGUUUAAAUGUUACUUGCAUUGCUAGUCUUGUCUUCUUGUUCAGUGCAUUCACAUCUAAAGUUUUCAACUAAGGCUUGGGACGUUUGUUACUUCCAUCAUUGGCUAUGUUGACACCUAAUCAGUCUGUAGUUUGUAGAAUUCUUAAAGCUUCUUUAGUGGUAAGAUUUUUGGACUUCACUACAUACGAAGUUUCUUUAGUCCAUUCUUAUUUGUGGCUUAGUUCUGGUUUAUGUUCCUUCUGCUUUAACCGUUUGGAAGUGAUACCAGCAAUGCCUUGGCUACGCUCGUGUUUCUGGGAAUUUUUAGAAAACAAUCUAAACGAGAAGAGUGGCUUAUUUGAUAUUCAUUUUUGUUAUGCUAAAAAGUUCCAGCAAUGACUAUGGGUAGAAAGAGCAAUCAUA
rnacentral:misc_RNA from 1 species